rnacentral:rRNA from 1 species
UAUCUGGUUGAUCCUGCCAGUAGUCAUACGCUCGUCUCAAAGAUUAAGCCAUGCAUGUGUAAGUAUAAAUAGUCUACUUUAAAACUGCGAAUGGCUCAUUAUAUCAGUUAUAGUUUAUUUGAUGAAAUGUACUACUUGGAUAACCGUAGUAAUUCUAGAGCUAAUACAUGAUCGUCUCCUCGACUUUGAAGAGGUGUAUUUAUUAGAAUGAAAACCAAUAGACUUUGUCUGUUUGUGAGUAAUAAUAACUUGUCAUAUCGCAUGCUUUUGUAGCGAUGUGUCUUUUAAGUUUCUGCCCUAUCAGCUUUCGAUGGUAGUGUAUUGGACUACCAUGGCAGUAACGGGUAACGAAGAAUUUGGGUUCGAUUUCGGAGAGGGAGCCUGAGAGAUGGCUAUCACAUCCAAGGAAGGCAGCAGGCGCGUAAAUUACCCAAUCCUGACACAGGGAGGUAGUGACAAUAAAUCACAAUGCGGAACUUCUGUUUUGCAAUUGGAUUGAGAACAACGCACAACACUUAUCGAUAAACAAUUGGAGGGCAAGUCUGGUGCCAGCAGCCGCGGUAAUUCCAGCUCCAAUAGCGUAUAUUAACGUUGUUGCAGUUAAAAAGCUC